AAAGGAAUAACCAGUUAGUUAGAUAGCCGGCUGUUAUUCCCAAUUUCGCUCGGCUGCCCUCUUCUUCCUUCCACGUCUCUUCCUCUGCCGUAGCCGAAUAUUCUCCAGUUUCCACCAGUUUCAAUCAAUCAACUGGAAGCGUCUGGGGCUUAGCGUAAUUCUACUGCCAGCAAUUGUUAUCAUCUCUCAUGGAGUCCGCUAUACCUACCUCGACGACGGCCGCCGGUGGAGGAGGAGGAGUAGGUACGGCUCCUUUCCUGAUAAAGACGUAUGACAUGGUGGAUGACAUGUCCACCGACGACAUCGUGUCCUGGAGCUCCUCCAACAACAGCUUCGUCGUCUGGGAUCCUCCCGAAUUCGCCCGACGCCUCCUUACUGCAUUCGCCCGACGCCUUCUUCCUGCCUACUUCAAGCACAACAAUUUCUCCAGCUUCAUCCGCCAAUUGAACACUUAUG
rnacentral:lncRNA from 1 species